rnacentral:sRNA from 3 species
UCCUAGCCCUGAUGGGAGGGAAAAUCCUUUUGUGCCGGGGUUCGGCACAAAAGAUUGGAAGGACAGCAGGAAAUAGC